CAACCAAAUAUACAGCGCAGUUACCGUCAGUUAAUUCAAUAUUUUUAAAGUUGUCAAACGAAUACAGUUAAAUUUUUAACAUAUUAAAUAUUUUUGAACACUUUUUUAAUUCCUUUAUAUCAAAAAUGCCUCGCGGGUUGGAAAUUACCUAUUGUAGCGCCCACCUCUACACAUACAAUCAGCAUGCAAACCUAUACUUCUCGAGCAUCGGGAAAGUGGACAUCAGACCUACCAACGCUAGACAGAAUCAUUUCCUCGCCGGCUACCGGGGCCGUCUCUCCAACGCGUGGUCACCAAACGCUCGCGCAAAACACCCGGCCCCGAUUUCCAAUCAACCUCAGCAGAUCUUUCUCAGUAACAUAGGGCUGCCGCCCCAUUACGGGGGACAUGUCCCCGGCCGCAAAUACCGAUAUGGUGACACUUUCUCCAAUGAUUCCAAAUACGUCAAAGUCUGGAUGGCCGCCAUCAAAUCACACUAACACCUCACACGAAAAUUACGCAAUUGAUUUAUUGUACAUAGUCGGAAAAAAUUAAAUCAAAAAUCUCCUGUUUC